rnacentral:rRNA from 1 species
GACGAACGCUGGCGGCGUGCUUAACACAUGCAAGUCGAACGGUGAACGAGGGAGCUUGCUCCCUCCGGAUCAGUGGCGAACGGGUGAGUAACACGUGAGCAAUCUGCCCCGAACUCUGGGAUAAGCGUUGGAAACGACGUCUAAUACCGGAUACGACGCGGGAGGGCAUCCUCUCCGCGUGGAAAGAGCUUCGGUUCGGGAUGAGCUCGCGGCCUAUCAGCUUGUUGGUGAGGUAACGGCUCACCAAGGCGACGACGGGUAGCCGGCCUGAGAGGGUGACCGGCCACACUGGGACUGAGACACGGCCCAGACUCCUACGGGAGGCAGCAGUGGGGAAUAUUGCACAAUGGGCGCAAGCCUGAUGCAGCAACGCCGCGUGAGGGACGACGGCCUUCGGGUUGUAAACCUCUUUUAGCAGGGAAGAAGCGAAAGUGACGGUACCUGCAGAAAAAGCACCGGCUAACUACGUG